AGUGAACGCUGGCGGUAGGCCUAACACAUGCAAGUCGAACGGCAGCACAGUAAGAGCUUGCUCUUACGGGUGGCGAGUGGCGGACGGGUGAGGAAUACAUCGGAAUCUACUUUUUCGUGGGGGAUAACGUAGGGAAACUUACGCUAAUACCGCAUACGACCUACGGGUGAAAGCAGGGGAUCUUCGGACCUUGCGCGAUUGAAUGAGCCGAUGUCGGAUUAGCUAGUUGGCGGGGUAAAGGCCCACCAAGGCGACGAUCCGUAGCUGGUCUGAGAGGAUGAUCAGCCACACUGGAACUGGGACACGGUCCGGACGCCUACGGGAGGCAGCAGUGGGGAAUAUUGGACAAUGGGCGCAAGCCUGAUCCAGCCAUACCGCGUGGGUGAAGAAGGCCUUCGGGUUGUAAAGCCCUUUUGUUGGGAAAGAAAAGCAGCAGGUUAAUACCCCGCUGUUCUGACGGUACCCAAAGAAUAAGCACCGGCUAACUUCGUG
rnacentral:rRNA from 1 species